rnacentral:sRNA from 1 species
AAGAAAUUACCGUAGGAUGAGCUAUCUUCAUGAUCCGACGGUUCAUUGCGUAUGUAAACU